rnacentral:rRNA from 1 species
UGUAAGCGUAUACCAAAGUUGUUGCAGUUAAAACGCUCGUAGUCGGAAUUUGGCAGUUCCGGAUGUGUGCACGUCGUGUGCGCACUUCGCGGGGAUUGCUUUUGUGGUCUUGCGUAGGAUGAGGCACUUUUAUUAGUGAACGUCCUCACGCAACCACUUUUUACUGUGAGAAAAUCAGAGUGCUCAAAGCAGGCAUUUGCCGUGAAUGUAUUAGCAUGGAAUAAUAGAAUAGGACUUGGUUCUAUUUUGUUGGUUUGUUGGGACUGAGUAAUGAUUAAGAGGGACAGUUGGGGGCAUUUGUAUAUCGGUGCUAGAGGUGAAAUUCUUAGAUUACCGAAAGACAAACUGCUGCGAAAGCGUCUGCCAAGGAUGUUUUCAUUGA